GUGCCAGCCGCCGCGGUAAUACGGAGGAUCCAAGCGUUAUCCGGAAUCAUUGGGUUUAAAGGGUCCGUAGGCGGUCUUAUAAGUCAGUGGUGAAAUCUCCCCGCUCAACGGGGAAACGGCCAUUGAUACUGUAGGACUUGAAUUAUUAGGAAGUAACUAGAAUAUGUAGUGUAGCGGUGAAAUGCUUAGAGAUUACAUGGAAUACCAAUUGCGAAGGCAGGUUACUACUAAUGGAUUGACGCUGAUGGACGAAAGCGUGGGUAGCGAACAGGAUUAGAAACCCUUGUAGUCC
rnacentral:rRNA from 1 species